UUUCUCCUUCUUUCUGUCCUCUAUCCUUACUCUCUCCCCACUCCUUGCUCUGUCUGCCUCUCCCCUUCUUCAGGUCUUCACUCCCCUCCCUUCCCCCACAGUAAACCUUCCUUAUACUAGAUCUGUCGAAUGGGUGUGUUUCAGGAAGACACCCUGGCAUGGCCUCACCAGCCAAGGAGUGGCGACCUCUUGUCACUGGGCAUGGUUCCCCCAUGCCCAGGAGCUUGGAGCAUGGUGAGAAGUUCUGAGAAAGCCAGGAGCCCACAGCCCAAGUCAAUCAGAGUACUAUGGUAAGAGACACCACUUGGAAACUGGUCCAUUGAUUUAUAGAUAAUGCUUGACUUGAAUCUGCAGAGAAACUCACCACGGAUUCUGCAGAGUUAACAGAUCCAGGAGUCCCCUGCGCAUUGUGUGAAAACACAGACUAUGACUCUACUGGCUAUGCUGCUGAGAUGCUUACAGAGCUUGCUUGUCCCCAGGCUGUGCUGAGGGGCUGAGGGAGCACCCUUUGUUAUUGCUCCAGUCAUUGCUCACUCUUCCAUAUGGAGGCUCUGUAUGUCACCUCUCCGCCUUUUGCUUUUGUCUUUUCCUAUUCCUCCUUCAUCCCUCCUUCUUCCCAUCUCCCUCAUUGCCCCAACACACAGCCCUACUCGCUCCUGGUUCAGCUUCAUUACCCACUGUGCUUUCCUACCCUUGAGCUGCCUGUUAGAGGCGUGUUUGCAAGAAAGAAUAAAAUGCAGGGCACAGACAAGAGGCAUGGUAAUCACUGCCCCCUUACUUGGGCUGAACUAAGUGGGGAGAAAAGCUUGGCACCCAGCCUGCAUUUUGUAUCUGACUCCUAUGUGUGUAACCACAUUCACGGUGACGAUUACACCACCCCUAAACAGAAGCUGUCAUCUCAUAGAGACCAAAUGUCCCAAGCAGUAAGGAUCUCUUUGUAUCACCAUGCAAACCCAGAUUGUGAUGGACUGGACUUGACUGACCUCUUGCUUCUUGCCCCAGCUCUUCCUCUGUUCAAACCCAAACCUCAGACUUCCUCUCCCCAGGUGUCUGGUCUGUCAACUCUCCUUUUUCUGCCCUUUGACGCUACUCAUUUCUGUACCUGGAAUAUUGAAACAGUUAAGCCUAGUUUGUCAGGAUUUUUAGAGCUGGGUCUUUGCUCUAAAACAUCAAUAACACUUACCCUUGGAUCACUAAAGAAGUGUGAGAGCUUGGGGAGAUGACUUUGCCCAUAAAGCCCUUGUUAUACAAGCAUGAAGAACUUAAUCCAGAUCUCUAAGACUCAUACAAAAAAUUGGGUGUAGUGACUAUAGAAAUAAUGUGAUUGGCCAGUAAGAAAUCACUCAUUUAGAGGUGAAGGGGAAACUCUAAUAGUGCUUGUCUAGCUCUGGCUAAUGUUCAAAGAGGAGCUGGCCUCAAAUAGGCUUAGGCUUGUACAUCUCACAAGUACAUACACUGUUGUCCUUAAAUCUCUUUUAGGUUCUGGCCUCACGUUAUACUUUGAACAAUUUAAACAAAGGCUGGAGACUACAAGUCUGGCCAGUGCAGAUGGGAGGUUUACACAGUUAUUGCUAGCAUUAUUUCUGAAGUAUCUUGCCCAUCUGGCAGAAUUAGGCUUUUCCCAGGAAAAGAACUGAACGCUUUAUGUCAGGCUAGGACUUAACAUACUUGUGUUGUGAUCCAGUGCUAGCCCUUGAGCUGCCUGUUAGAGGCGUGUUUUUUAGGGAUGGGCCUAACAGCUGGCUAGCUCUGAUGAGCAGCCAUUUUCAUCAUAAUUUUCCUUAUCUUUAACAGACCUGGCUAGCAGGUUACUUAUCUUUGGGGUAUUUGUGGGCAGCACUUCCUUAGCUAAGUUACUUUGUGUAAUUUGAUGUCUCCUAAGGAAGUGUCUUAGUAAGUCCUUUAUUCCUUUAUAACUCUCUUCCUAUUGUGCCAGGGAGGCUGAGACAGGCCGGUGCCUGGGGGUUGUUGUCUGGCCGGCGUAGCUGGAGUUCCAGGUUCAGUGAGAGACCUUGUCUCCAAAGUGAGGUGGAUAAUGAUUGAGGAAGACAUGUCUAUGUUUGGCCUCUACAAACACAUGCCCAUGAAUAUAUGCACACUCAUCCAUACAGUAUGUACAGAGAGAGAGAGAGAGAGAGAGAGAGAGAGAGAGAGAGAGAGAGAGAGACUUUUACCCUCUGUCAGUCUAGAAGUUGGCUGGUAUGUGUAGAGAGAAUAUCUUCUGUAUUGUAUGGAUGCACUACCUGUCAAUUAAAAAAAAAACCUAUGGCUUAUAGGAAAGGAUAAAAUAGAAUGGGGGACCUCUGGGAAGCAGAAAGAAUUCUGGGAUAGAGCCAGGCUUGGGAGAUCCACCUGGGAAGGUGAGAUGAAGCAGAUGUAUGGUACCUGAGCACAGGUAACCAGCCAUAUGGCAGAACAGAGGUUAAAAUAACUGGGUUAUUUUAAGUUAUGAUCUAGUCAGAGAAGACUCUUGCUAUAUAGCCAAGGUAUUUGUAAAUAUGUUUUGAAUCUGAGUCUUAUUUCUGGGAGCGUGGGGCUGAGAGGAAGCAGCAGACUGAACUUGUACAGGUAAGAAUGGUUUGAGGGGGAAGAAAUGGCGUACCACAUUUGCACAGACACUUGUAUUCCACGCAGGUCACUGAGCCUUGACUAGGGUGAUGCUUGGUGAGACAUCUAGGUGAGUCAGCAGUAAAGCUGCCUGGGGAUGCCCAGACCAGCAGAAUGAGCACCAGCUUCAGGAAAGUCCAAUGUAGCAAACCCUGAAAGGAGUGGAUUGGCCUGAGCCAGGUUGCAAACUAGCAGUUUAGGAGACGGAGCCUGAGUUUCUACUUCCCAGAACUGGGCAAGUCAGUUACUGGAACAACUGCAGGCUUAUGUCAAGAGCCUACCUGUCCCCAGCUUGCAAAAGGACAGUUAGCCAAGCUUACAGCCAAGAGGUCAAGAGCUACCCCUCCUUGGCAUGAAGCAAGAAUACUUAGUCUGAAUCGUAGCAUCACCCAGAUCCUCAGAAAUAGAACCCACCAAUCAAGAUAUAGAUCACCUACCCCUCCCUAAUGUUCCUCUUUUUGGCUUUAAAACUGAAUCUGCGAAUUCAGUGCCCUUCCAUCUCGAUGGCAUUAGGCCCCUGCAUGCAGGAAUAAAUGGUCUUUGCUUUUGCAAAGUGAUUUAUUUGAGUCUGGGGUAUCAUUCUUCA
rnacentral:lncRNA from 1 species